rnacentral:tRNA from 1 species
GGGUAUAUAGCUCAGCGGUAGAGCACAUGCUUAGCAUGUGUGAGGUCCUGGGUUCAAUCCCCAGUACCUCUG